rnacentral:tRNA from 1 species
GCAAAAUCGGCUAGAGUCCGUUAAUAACUUGAAAUUAUUAUUCAUUACUUAUUAUAAGUAAAUUUUGUU